GGGACGGAGCGCGAGCCAGUCCUUGCGUGGCCUGCAACGCACCUUUCUCCGCGCCGCCCCGCUGUGUCUCAGGAGUGCACCUGUGUGUGCUAAGCUGCAUCCGUACACUGAGGUCAGGUGCAAGGACAGAGAGGUGACCGCUGGCGGGACCACCUUGGAGAUGAGCCUGCCCCCCCACUGCCCGAGAGACCAGCCGCCCCGGGAGGAAGGAAGCAGGAAGGAAAAUGCCCGGAUUCUUCAGAAGUUCGCUGCCUUACACGGGACAGACAUCCUGGAAAGCAAACGCUGUGGGACACAAAUGAGCAGACGCGUGGACGAGCAGACGACAAAAGCAGGAGCGACAGCCAGGCUGAAGUACUCGAAACAAACUCCAGGGACAGGACACAACCGAGCCUGACUGUCCAACCUCCUGAAUGUGAGGCACGACCAGAGGAGGGGAGGCCAUCCUGGCCCGGAAAUGACCUCAUGGCCCAACGUGGCCCACAGACUUUUUGCGGGGCCUGCGGUGUUCCAGGCACCUGUUUUAACAGUUCCCAAAUCCCGUCGGGGCCCCCCACACUGCGGGGCCCUGCUGCCCACUUGACGGGCAGUCAAGCCACAGAAGCACCCGCCUCUCCUGGCCCUUGGGCCAGUGACUGGGGACAAAGAGAGGCUAAGAGCCAGAAGUGACAGGUGCGCAUCCUCAGAGCCAGGGGGACCCCAGCUCCUGGCCCGUACUAAGUCGCUUAACCCUCCCAAUAACCCCCUGAAGCAGGACUGCUCUUCGUUCUCAGACCGGGAAACUGAGUCAAGGAAACGCGAAGCCGCCUGCCCAGGGGGACGCAGCCUCCAGGGGGGCAGGCCCACUCCACACUCCGGCAGCGCCAGAGACGCUGCAGCGUCUCUGACAACUUGGUCUCACCCAACUAGGUUGCCCACCUCACACCUCUUUUUCUUUUUUUUCUGUUUUUGGUCUUUUUAGGGCCGCACCCACGGCAUAUGCAGGUUCCAAGCUAGGGGUCAAACCGGAGCUACAGCCGCCAGCCUACACCACAGCCACAGCCACAUCAGAUCCGAGCCGUGUCUGGAACCUACACCACAGCUCACGACAACGCUGGAUCCUUAACCUACUCAACGAGGCCAGGGAUCGAACCCGCAUCCUCAAGGAUCCUGGUCAGACUCAUUAACCACUGCACCACGACGGGAACCCCUCACACCUCUUAGAAGGAGACUAACACUAGUUCUCCACCCACUCGGUUAAAAUUUCUCUAAAAAGCCGACAGGACAUAAGCACUUCUCCAUUAGAGCACAGCUCCGCAUGGCUAAUUCGCACCAGACCACAACCAACGAGGAAGAACAGGCUUUGGGGUACACCUGGCCCAACCCAGAGAGUCUCUCAUUCAUCUGCCUAGGCAAUCUCUCUGGAGUGACCCAGAAUAAAAUACCUACAGCAAUU
ensembl:lncRNA